AUUUCUUUUGCAAACAUGUAACACCUACAAUCAUGUAAACUUUUCAAACAUAUUUAUAUUAUGGUGGUGUGUACUUUCCUUUCUAUGAACUGUUAUGAUACUGAAUAUGACGUCCUCCGCCCCCGAACGAUUCCGCCGUUCUGGUUUGGGGGUGUGACAGAUUGGUAUCAGAGCUUCGUUUAUAGUGAAUUAAGUAUAUCAAAACCAUUUUUUUUAUACAACUAUAAACUCAACUGGGCAAAAACACUCUGAGAAGAGUCAUACUUUUGAAAUUAAAUCUAUUUAGUUUUUGUAAGUAAGCAUGCAUUCAUUUAGUAAUAAAUAACAGUUCCACAUCGUACCAUAUUAGAAGUAUUAUUAAUGAGUUGUGCAGUACAGGUACGCCUUGGGACAUGUAAUCGGAACUGGGAAGGAUAUAGCCUGAUCAACUAUAUUUGUCCGAGAGCCGACUAACGUGUGCCGAGGGGUGUCUGCAGUGGACAACAAAUUUUAAAAACUUACCAAACCGUUAUUAGAAUCAAACACAAUAAUUUAAAUGCUAUAGGAGUAAUUGCUAUUUAAACUAACUUACAUGUUUUGCAUGUUCCGACUUUAUUCAAUUCUUAUGACCCUAUUUCUCGUACAGUCAAAUGGCUGGAUUUCACCACCCCAAUGACCCCUACUUUCCCAACCAAGGCAACGGAGGAUGGAUCGAAGAUGAUCCAGAAGAGGAUGAGGAACCCAUAGAAUUGGGUGAUGACUCCGGUACUGACUCAGAGCCUGAAGUGAUCGAUCCACCACCCAUUCAACCUCCUGUCCAUGUGAGGAACUUCCAAGGACCCACUCCCGUCUGGGGAAGUCACCUACAUCAUUGGAGCCAACAACAAGGCAUACGCCCUCCCUACGGCAUGUGUCGGGACUUCUACGAUGUCCGCGGUGGCAGUUCGGCUGAUCGAGCACUCCCGGUAAUGGUGGGUAAGUUAGCCAAUCAGUCCUAUCAGUCCGGAGUACAAGCAAGCCGACUCCGGGAUAUCAACGUGGAAGUGCAGGUUCACACUUCCGAUAUCCGUAGGCUGGACAAGAUACAAGAUAAUGUCCAACUCCAGUCUGAGGCAUUUCAGGCACAGAUAAUUGCAGCCCUAGCCGAGUUAAGGGAGCAACAAGCCGCUUUUGAUCGACGCCUAAUGGAAUCGAAGCAAUCAGAUGCGGAGUCAAGCUCCAAGCGCAACCUACGUCGCAAGUAGUGCCUGCCAGGAUUUCAAAUUUUGUUAUAAAUUAGGACUUCGGAUAAGAAUUUUCUUUUCGUUAAAACUUUCUGUAAUCGGAGACCUUUAGAAAGGUCAAAAAGUUUUGUCUAAACUCGGAUGUAACACAACUAUAUGUUUUAUAUAUAUAGGGCAUACCCCCCUUUUUCUGGUUUUUUUAAAUAUGUGUAUUCCGUUCAACUCAUAAGUGCAUCCAUUCAAACGUUAUUAAAUCAAGCUUAAAACCCAUUAUUGAUCAAACCAAAUUCUUAAUCUAUUUAAAGGCAGUUAACUCAAUAUCAUUCAACUCACAACCACCAAAACUCAUAAUAUCUCAUUUUCCUUUUGACAGAGCAAUGCCUCCUCGUAGAUCAGCACGUACCAACGCAACCCCACUACCACCUCCACCACUAACUUAUGAUCCGGCAAUGGUCCAGGCUGCUAUCACAGCAGCAGUAGCAGCAGCCCUCUCUCAAAUAAACUCCAAUGCCAAUGGAGGUACAGGAAGCAGCACGAAUCAUCCCAAUAGUGGCACCGGCCAGGGCCAUGUUAGAGAGUGUACCUACAAGGAGUUCUCCAACUCGAAGCCAAAGACUUUUAAUGGCAGUGGCGGAGUCAUUGCACUAAUGCAAUGGUUCGAAAAGACCGAAACGGUCUUCGAGAUCUGCUCGUGCCAAGAAACAAGCAAGGUUAAGUUCGCUGCUUGCACCUUCAUAGAUCGAGCCCUCACUUGGUGGAAAAGCCAUGUGAACUCAGUGACGCUCACUGUCGCUAACGCCAUGAGUUGGGAAGAACUGAAGGUACUACUACUGGAAGAAUACUGCCCAAGGGGUGAAGUGCAAAAGCUUGAGCAGGAACUCUGGAAUUUGAAAAUGGUCGGGUCUGACCUAGUCGCUUACACAGCUAGGUUCAACGAUCUCGCUGCUUUGUGCCCUACCAUGGUCAACCCAGAAUCAAAGAAGGUCGAAAGGUACAUUUGGGGGUUGUCACCCCAGAUUCAAGGGCAUGUCCUAGCCUCCAACCCUAUCACCUACAACAGCGCUAAACGCCUGGCGCAACGACUCAUCGAUCACGGAGCGAAACAGAGUACCAUCACAACAGCCGCAAAUCCACCUAGGGAGGCUCAGGGACAGAGUAGGCCUUGGAACAAGAGGAGGGGACAAAUCCUCCAGGAGAACCCCAAGAAACAACAAGUGAUAGCGACCCACGCUAUUACUGUACCUACCAACUCUGCCCCCACAAGUUCAUACAAUGGAAAGCUACCGAAAUGUAACCAGUGCAACUUCCACCAUCACGGUCUCUGUCAUGGCCUUCAAUGCACCAGGUGCAAUAAGAAGGGUCAUACAGCCCGCUAUUGCAAGGAGCCAACCCAACAAUCCGCCCCCACUGCUAAUACCGGAGUAAGCCGCGCUUGCUUUGAGUGCGGGAGCACAGGGCACUACCGCAAGGACUGCCCGAAGGCAAACAACAGGAAUACCGGCGGAAGAGGCCGAGUUUUCGCAAUGGGACAAGAUGAAGCCAUUGCGGACCCUACUGUUGUUACGGGUACGUUUCUUCUCGAUAACUCGUAUGCAUGCAUUUUGUUUGAUAGUGGAGCGGAAAGGAGUUUUGUGAGUCACGACUUUAAAAGCAUGCUAAAACCAAUACCACAAUCAUUAAGUGAACCGUUCAUAGUAGAAAUGGCCAACGGGAAAACUGAAGGCACUAAAGAGAUAUACUUAAACUGCACCCUAACUCUAAACGAUAAUCCCUUUCAAAUCAACCUCAUGCCAGUCUCGAUUAAGAGUUUCGAUGUCAUCAUUGGCAUGGAUUGGCUGAGUUCACAUCGUGCGGACAUUCUAUGUUACGAUAAGGCCGUUCGCCUUAAUCUGCCAACCGGCGAAACCUUCCUUGUCUUGGGCGACAAACCUAGUACCACUCUUAGAAUCAUCUCAAGUAUCCAAGCUCAGAAGCACUUACGAAAGGAGUGUCACGCAUUUCUUGCACAUGUUGUAGACGUGAAACGCGAAGUCCGGGACAUCAAGGAUGUGCCCGACGUAUGCGAUUUUCCCGAUGUGUUUCCCGAGGACCUUCCAGGGAUACCACCCGUAAGACAAGUCGAAUUCAGAAUCGAUCUGAUUCCCGGAGCUACCCCAGUAGCCAAAGCACCCUAUCGAUUAGCCCCGGCAGAGAUGCAGGAGCUAUCCAGUCAACUGAAUGAACUACUGGGAAAAGGAUUCAUCAGACCGAGCUUCUCACCAUGGGGAGCACCCGUGUUGUUUGUGAAAAAGAAAGAUGGAUCGUUCAGAAUGUGCAUCGACUACAGAGAACUCAACAAACUGACGGUCAAGAAUCGUUAUCCUCUACCGCGCAUAGAUGAUCUAUUCGACCAACUGCAAGGGGCGAACUAUUUUUCUAAGAUUGAUCUGAGGUCCGGGUAUCACCAGUUACGAGUGCUAGAGGAGGAUGUGCCGAAGACCGCCUUCCGAACUCGUUACGGACAUUACGAGUUCGUGGUGAUGCCAUUCGGAUUGACCAAUGCGCCCGCAGUCUUCAUGGAUCUGAUGAAUAGAGUAUGCCGACCUUACUUGGAUCAGUUCGUCAUCGUUUUCAUUGACGACAUCCUGAUCUACUCCCGAAGUAAGAAAGAGCAUGGCGAUCAUCUGCGACAAGUUCUAGGGAUAUUACGAAAAGAGAAACUUUAUGCGAAGUUCUCGAAAUGUGAAUUUUGGAUCCGAAGAGUCGAAUUCUUAGGACACGUGGUAAGCGAAGAGGGAAUCCACGUGGACCCAUCCAAAAUUAAGGCCAUUGAGAACUGGUCAGCACCGAAGACUCCUACAGAAAUUCGCCAAUUUCUAGGUCUCGCUGGCUACUACCGCAGGUUCAUUCAGAACUUCUCACGAAUAGCGAAGCCUCUUACAACCCUAACCCAGAAAGGUGUGGCCUUUGACUGGGAAGAGAAACAAGAAAGAGCGUUCCAAACGCUCAAACGAGCCUUGUGCACCGCACCAAUACUAUCCCUUCCCGAAGGAAUAGAAGACUUCGUAGUUUAUUGCGAUGCAUCAAACCAAGGACUCGGAUGUGUUCUGAUGCAGCGAGGUAAGGUCAUCGCCUACGCCUCGAGACAGUUGAAAACACAUGAGGUUAACUACACGACCCACGAUCUUGAGCUAGGAGCAGUAGUGUUUGCCCUGAAGAUCUGGAGACAUUACUUGUAUGGAACGAAGAGCACUAUCUUUACCGACCACAAGAGCUUACAACACAUUUUCGAUCAGAAGGAGCUCAACAUGAGACAACGGCGAUGGGUCGAGCUACUCAGUGAUUACGAAUGCGAUAUUCGCUAUCAUCCGGGAAAGGCAAACGUCGUAGCCGAUGCCCUUAGUCGAAAGGAGUACUCAGGCCGGAGAGUGAAGUCAUUAGCUAUGUCGAUCCAUUCGCACCUAUCAACGCAAGUCAAGGAAGCUCAAUUAGAGGCCUUGAAACCCGAAAACGUGGCAGGUGAGGCCCUUAGGGGAAUGGACAAGAACUUAGAAAUCAAGAGUGACGGAGCACGCUACCUCAUGAACCGGAUCUGGACACCAAAGUUUGGGGGAUUCAGAGAGGUAGUUAUGAGCGAGGCACACAGGACCCCAUACUCCGUACACCCAGGGUCAGACAAGAUGUAUCUAGAUCUCAAGCAACUCUACUGGUGGCCAAACAUGAAAGCGGAGAUCGCUACGUAUGUGGGCAAGUGUUUAACUUGCGCCAAAAUAAAAAUAGAACACCAAAAACCCUCAGGCCUACUCCAACAACCUGAAAUACCUGAGUGGAAAUGGGAGCAGAUUUCCAUGGACUUCAUAACCAAACUGCCCAAAACUCAGAGUGGCCAAGAUACUAUUUGGGUAAUCGUCGACAGAUUAACCAAGUCAGCCCAUUUCUUACCUAUCAAGGAAACCGAUAGGAUGGAAAAACUAUCAAGAACCUACAUCCGGGAGAUCGUACGACUUCAUGGAGUACCAAUGUCCAUCAUCUCAGAUAGAGACAGCAGGUUCACUUCCAGAUUUUGGCAAUCACUGCAAAAAUCCAUGGGAACAAGGUUGGACAUGAGUACAGCAUACCACCCUCAAACUGACGGACAGAGUGAGAGGACGAUCCAAACCUUGGAAGACAUGUUGCGAGCAUGUGUAAUCGACUUUGGCAAGGCAUGGGAUAUUCACUUGCCUUUGGUCGAGUUCUCUUAUAACAAUAGUUAUCAUACUAGUAUCAAGACCGCUCCGUUCGAAGCCCUUUACGGCCGUAAGUGCAGAUCACCCCUGUGCUGGACGGAAGUGGGCGACACCCAAUUGGCAAAAGGUCUAGUCACUAAAAGCACCCUUACUGGUCCAGAGAUCAUCAGAGAAACUACCGAAAAGAUCGUGCAAAUACGAGAACGACUGAAGUCCUCAAGGGAUAGGCAAAAGAGCUAUGCCGACAGGAGACGUAAACCCUUGGAAUUCCAGAUUGGCGACCGUGUGCUACUGAAGGUCUCACCCUGGAAAGGCGUGAUACGCUUUGGGAAGCGUGGAAAGCUAAAUCCCAGGUACAUUGGACCCUUCGAAAUCAUUUCGAGAGUUGGUCCAGUGGCCUACAAACUCCAACUUCCAAUCGAGCUUAACAAAGUGCAUCCAGUAUUCCACGUGUCGAACCUGAAAAAGUGUUUGUCCGACGAAACACUUGUAAUUCCACUCGAUGAAAUCGCGUUAAACGAAAAUCUCAACUUUGUGGAAGAACCCGUCGAGAUCAUGGAUAGGGAAGUUAAAAGGACCAAGCAGAGUCGCAUUCCAAUAGUAAAAGUUCGAUGGAAUGCUAAGAGAGGACCCGAAUUCACAUGGGAACGGGAAGACCAAAUGCUACAGAAGUAUCCGCAUCUCUUCCUCAGCCCCUAAAACUCUUACCUUGUAUUAAAUUUCGGGACGAAAUUCCGUUUAACGGGGGGAUGAUGUAACAACCCGUUAUCCCGGGCAUUAUAAACCGAGUCUUGUAACCCCUUUUGAAUGUAAUGGGAAUAUCAUCGAUAAAUGAAUUGUUCAAAAGCUCUGAUUUGGAGUACGCUAUGUAGUAGAUAUCGUCUUAAAGGUUCCAAAUAAAUAAAGAAACACUAAAAUCUGAGUUAUGGCGAAGAAGCUAUGACCAUUCUAAGAUUUCUGUCAAAACCGACAACACCGAUCAAACGAAAAACGCAAAGUUUCAAUACGAUAACAUUUAGCCUUAGGUAUCUAAAUGAAAGUCAUAGAUAACAUUAAACCGUGAGCGUACACAAAAAGAACGUCCAAAUCUGACUUCGCAUGAGGAAGUUAUGAUUUUUCAAAGAAAUUCCUUAAAAACGAUUAGUUAUAAAAUAAAUAAUAAAAAUAAUUUUGGAAUUUGCCAACGGAGUCUAAACGAAAGUUGUAGAUCGUAGUCUCACCUACGCGUGGAUAUAAAGACCAUCGAAAACGGAGUUCGUAUGAAGAAGAUAUGGAUUUUUGAAGUUUAUUAAAUAAAUUAAUUAUUUAUUUAAUUCAAAAUUCGGAUAUUAUCCGAAGAGGAGUCAGCGUCCUUCUCCGAAGUACGCGCUGCGUACUCCUGUACGCCCCGCGUAACCGAGAGGAUUGGCCUCGGAUCGUCCACGUCGCCAUAUCCGAGGAAGCCGACCCGUCCGACCCGUCCGACCCGACGUCCCAUCCGACCCGGCGUCCCAUCCGACCCACCUCCCCAGCAACCCGUCCCAUCCGACCCGAUAACCCAAGAACCCGUCCCAUCCGAACCGAGGCAGUCGAGGCUUCGGUCAUGCAUGACGUACGCGUACGCAGCGCGUACGAGCGUACGCCCCGCGUACCGAGGCAGACUUGCCUUCCUAUAAAUAGAAUGCGAGGGUUUCCAAAGAAAGGGUUCAUUUCUCUUCUCUCUCUCUCAGCAUUUCCUCGUUUUCCGUGUCCGUUCAAACCCGAAGCUCUGGUCUUUUUGGCUCAAGUCCCGAAGGCCGAUUCUACUCCCGAGAUUCCCGAGAAUCCCAAGAAAAAUCAGUUUCCCGAGACGAAACUCUGCUCGGUUUUCCACCUCACAAUCUUCAAACUAUCAAGUGAGUUCAUAUCCCCUUUGAACACUCUUUAAAUACAUUUUAAAUGUUUUAUACUCUUUUUGGGGAGGAAUACAAGUUAACACAUGACUAAAUUCGUGUGAAACAUUAACCUUUUGAUAUACUUUUCAUACUGUUGUUUUAACUAUCUUGUGAAGUUAUUAUGAUACAAAACCCCUCACAACACAGCUUUACCCUCUUUGGGAUAUAAUAUGUUUAUAAAUAGAAAUAUGUUUUAUUUAUACGUUUACAUACAAACACAUCAUAUCAAGGGUAACAUUCUUUACUAAGUCAUUUCAUGCAUUCAAAGAACUUAUGAUUAUGCUUUGUCAAACAUUGUGAAAGAGGUUAAACUUUGCAUACAAACUACUACCUUAUUACGGACUUAGUUGAGAAUCCAUGAGUCGUGUAUAUCUUCAAACGUUACUUUCUUUAUUAGAAAAUAAUGCUACAAGUCCUGUCUAUAACCAGAGUCUCCCGUUCGGAGAACGUGUCAAAUGUGUAUAGAUCUAUACGGGAAGUCAUGAUCCCGCGCCCUGACUGUUAGCUACAGUCCGUCUUUUGGGGUGACAGUUGUCAUAACGCUACGACGCCUGAAGAACGUCGCUACAGGCAUAUUAUGUUUAGUAUGGUUAUAAAACUCAUCGGAUAUACAAUUAUUAUGGUAUUAUGCUUUUAUGAACAAGUAGUCAUUAAAACUAUUCUUCAUUUAAUAAGGGCGAUUUUCGUAUAGCUUUACUAUGUAAAACUAUGACACGACUUACAAGCACGUCGCUUGCUUGCGAUUUUCGGUCUUCAAGGCUGCCAGUUAUGUCAGGAAAAUAAGGGUUUUUCCUGUAUACCAAACAAACAACUAAUAGGAAAAUAAGGGAUUUUCUCGGUACAAAUAGUUGCAAUUUACAUCAUGAACAUUCAUAUGCAUUUCAUACUUUUAUAGGAAAAUAAGGGUUUUUUUCUGGAAAACAUGCAAACACUUUUGAAUGGCAUACAUCUUCUCAAAACACUACUUAUGAACUCACCAACUUAAAUGUUGACACUUUUUCUUUGAAAUAACUUGUAUUCACAGGAAACCGCUAGCCAGGUAGCAACUACUUCUGAAGACUAACGCACUGGCGUUAGUAACAUAUUUUGGAUCACCAUUUUUGAUUUCUUUUGCAAACAUGUAACACCUACAAUCAUGUAAACUUUUCAAACAUAUUUAUAUUAUGGUGGUGUGUACUUUCCUUUCUAUGAACUGUUAUGAUACUGAAUAUGACGUCCUCCGCCCCCGAACGAUUCCGCCGUUCUGGUUUGGGGGUGUGACAUUUUAGAACUUGGUACGGACAUUACGAUUUUCUAGUUAUGUCGUUCGGUCUAACGAAUGCCCCUGCAAUAUUCAUGGACCUCAUGAACCAUGUUUAGAAACCUUAUUUAGAUAAGUUUGUUAUUGUAUUCAUUGAUGACAUCCUGAUACACUCACAAACAAAGGAAGAACAUGGUCAAUAUCUACGCUUAAUAUUGGAACUACUAAGAAAAGAGAAACUCUAUGCAAAAUUCUCUAAGUGUGAAUUUUUUAUCAGAAAAGGACACUUCUUAGGGCACGCCGUAAGUAAAAAAGGCAUACAUGUGGACCCUGAAAAAAUUGAAUCAAUCAGGAACUGGGAAGCACCAAGAACACCAACCGAAGUGCGCCGGUUUUCAGGCCUUGCUGGGUACUACCAGAGAUUUAUUGAGAACUUCUCUAAGACGGCCAAACCUCUAAUUGCAAUGAUAUAGAAGAAUGUGAAAUUUAUCUGGGAAGACAAGCAGGAGACUGCUUUCCAGAAAUUAAAACAAGUAUUGUGUAGCACGCUAAUCUUAUCACUUCUAGAAAGAAUUGACGACUUCGUCGUGUGCUGCGACACGUCUCAUCAAGGAUUUGGAUGCGUAUUGAUGUAAAGAGAUAAAGUAAUGGUAUAUGCCUCCAGAAAAGUUAAAGUUCACAAGGCCAAUUACACCACUCAUGACCUCGAAUUAGGAGCAUUGAUUUUUACACUCAAAAUAUGGAGACACUACUUGUAUGGUACGACGUGUACCAUCUUUACUGACCACAAGAGUCUCCAACAAAUCUUCAAUCAAUAGGAACUAAAUAUGAGACAAAAAGAUGGUUUGAAUUACUAAAUGAUUACGAGUGUGAAAUUCGUUACCAUCCCAGGAAAGCAAACAUUGUCGCAUAUGCACUGAGUCGUAGAGCACAUGUCAAACCUAGACGCGUACGAGCACUAACCAUGACUAUCCAUUCCAACCUCAAUAAACAGAUAAGAGAAGCUCAUAUUGAAGCUAUAAAUGAGGAGAACACAACGGACGGAGAUUUGUGGGGAAUGGAUAAGCAAUUUGAUCUUAGAAAAGAUGGAAUGCGAUAUUUCAUGAACAUAAUCUGGAUGCCCAAAUUUUGAAACGUUAGGAGUUUAGUUAUGAGUGAAGCUCAUAAGACGAGAUAUUCCGUUCACCCAGGUUUCGAUAAGAUGUAUCAAGACAUAAGGAUAUUGUAUUGCUGGCCAAACAUGAAAGCCACGAUUUCCACUUACAUGAGAAAGUGUCUAACAUGUUCUAAAGUUAAAGCAGAACAUCAAAAGCCUCCUGGUUUGCUACAACAACCAGAAAUACACGAAUGGAUGUGGAAACUAAUAAUUAUGGAUUUCAUUACCAAGUUACCCAGAACACCAUGUGGAUACAACACAAUAUAGGUGAUAGUGGAUAGGUUAACAAAGUCUGCCCAUUUCCUACCAAUUAAGGAGACUGACAAGAAGGAAAAGUUGACCAAAACAUACCUAAAGGAGAUUGUGAUACUACGCAGAGUCCCAAUCUAUAUUAUCUCUGACCAAGGUGGUAGAUUCACCUCUCGAUUUUGGCAAUCAUUGCAAAAGUCCUUAGGUAUCCGUCUAGACAUGAGCAUGGCUUACCAUUCUCAGACAGAUUGUCAGAGUGAACGAACCAUCCAAACUAUAGAAGAUAUGCUCUGAGCCUGUGUGAUAGACUGUGGGAAUUUAUAGGACACUCACUUGCCCUUGAUUGAGUUUUCCUAUAACAACAACUAUCACACCAGCAUAAAGGCCGCACCAUUUGAGGCAUUGUAUGGAAGAAAAUGUCAGUCGCCACUAUGUUAGGCAGAGGUUGGAGAUACCUAGUUGGCCAAGGUACAUUCAGGAGAUACUCUAUAGAGUGGACACGAUAUAAUUCACUAUGUUGGGCAUAGGUUGGAGACACCUUAUUUUCUUUAUGAAUUUUUUAUGUGAUUGGUAUUUUGUGUCUACUCAAAGAGAUUAUCCGUUCAUAUUAGAUUAUUCAUUAAUUUUUUAUUAAACAUACUAUAAGUUAUCAGACCUUUGAAUGGUUAAUCAUUAUUAAGAGACUUUUUAGUGGUAUUAUUGAAAUACGAGGUUUCAAAUGAAUAUGGUUUGAGUAAAAAUGCCUUAUGGGAUUUUUAAAUGAAUGUGUUGAAAAGAAAAAUGUUUUCUUUAUAAGUAUAUAUAGAAUAGGCGAAUGUCCGUGCGUUGCGCAGAAACACUUAUAUAGUUGAAAUCUAUACAAAUGUAUGCUUUAUUUUAAAUAUAACAACAACGUUGUUUUUGAAAUUUGAUAUAACAAUGUGUAUACUAAAUUCAUAUAAUAUAUUGAUUCUNUCAACCGUUUGAAUGAUUUCUACCUGCAAGUUAGUCAUGAAUAAAAUUAAAUAUAAUAUAUGUUUUAAUGUUAUUUGUAGUUGUUAUUUUUGUUAAUUAAUUUUUUAAAGUUUAUUUGUUUAGCGUUAUUUCUAUCAUUAUAAUUAUUUAAAAAAUCAAACAUUGUUUUUUGAUUUUAAAGGUAACAAUAUAAUCAUUUAUAUAGAGUUAUUUUUAAAUAAUGUUAUUAUAAGUUAUUUUAAACUACAUAUUUGAAAACUUUUAAUGACUAAAAAUAUCUUUAGGAAAUAUUCUUGGUAAAUUGAGGUAAAAAUUUAUUUUUUGCAUUUUCAACUAGAAUUUAUUACUUUUAACAAUUCCCAAAAUAUUCACUGGGUUUUUUAAAUGGAACUGAAAUUUAUAUUUAAGUUGACAAUAUAAUGCUAUAUUAUAGUUAACAAUUUAAGUAUUUUGUCUAAACUGUUCAAAAGUAGUAACUUUAAAUUGAUAAUGUUUUACAUACAACAACAUAUUAACUCUAAUAAAUUAAGUAUAAUAUGUUAAAAGUAAAAUAAGUAACAUUAUAAGUAGAAGCGAACAUAUUACUUUAAUAUUGAAAUUUAGUUUAUAUUUUAUUACACUUUAGGUUUGAUAUUUAUUUAACCUUAUUAACCAAAUUAUAAUCAUUAUUACAAAGACACUACAAUUUAUCACUUUUAACUAAUUACAAAAUAUUCAUUGAGUUAUUUAAGUUCAACUAAAAUUUAUAUUUAAGUUGAUCUUGUAAUGUUAUAUUUAUAUUUAUAAUUUAAGUAUUUUAUUCUAAUUGUUCAAAAAUUCUAGUUUUAAAAUGAUAAUGGUUUACAUCCAACAAUUUAUUAAAACUAAUAAAUAAAGUAUAAUAUGUUAAAAGUUAAAAAACAUAACUUUAUAAGUAGAAGUAAAUAUAUUGUUUUAAUAUUCAAAUUUAGUUUAUAUAUGAUUACACUUUAGGUUUGGUAUUUAUUUAAUCUUAUUAACCAACUUAUAAUCAUUUUUAGAAAGAAAAAGAAAAGUCAUGGGAGUUUCAAAAGAAUGUGGUGAAUAGAAAAAUGCAUGGGAGUUUCAAAUGAAUGUGGUGAAAGGAAAAAUGUUUCCUUUAUAACUAUUUAGAUGAAUAUCCACACGUUGUGCAGAAUAAAAUUAUUGAAAGGGUUUUGAGCAUUCUAACACUCCUAAGGUGUAUAUGCAACCCUAGAAACCUUGGAUCUAUGUUUUACUAUGAUACAUGCAAAAUUGAUUUUCCAAGGUUCUUAACCUAUCUAGCAUAGUAUGGGGAACUUUCAAACAAAAAUACCUAGAAGAAGAAGACACCUUUUUUAGUUUGGAUUCCUUGAGAACCUUAUGAGCCUAGCACCUCAAGUGUGAUGCCUCAAAUGUCUCACUGUCACAACCCAAAACCGAGAACGACGGAAUACAUUCUGGGUGGAGGAUGUCAUGUACAGUAUCAUUACAAUUGCAUAAUAGUAAAAAGAAGAAACAACAACCAUUUCAUUAGUAUAGUGAUAAUAAUUACAAAUGUGUUCUGUGAAGUUUAAUAGACACCAAAAGUAUAACAAAAUAAUAGAUGGGUCUUGUAUGUGUUCCAGCUUCUCCAAAAGCUGCACCAGUUCCUGUCUAUGUUUGACCUGAGGAUACAAGUUAUUUUGAAAACGAGUAUCAGCAUAAAGCUGGUGAGUUCAUAAGAUUUUAGUGUCGUUGUUUGUGUAAAGAGUUUUACGAACAUGUAAUAUAAAAACUGAAACUUAUGUUUAUGAGUAGUAGAAAUCCCUAGAAAAUCCUAUAUUUUCCAGAAAGGUACAUUUGUAAGUCAAAUCCUUUGAGUGUGUAAAAGUAUUAUCUUUGAAACCUUCAAUUGUAAAAGUAUAGUAAUAAAUAUCAUGUGAGUAACAUAGCUGAAGAAAUGUUAUGCCUGCUAACAGUAGUAGUGGUGUAACUUCAGUUAGUAAUAGAUCUUUAAUUACUUCGGGAUAUUAACUUAGACUUCAAGUCUUAGUGUAUUUAUUUGGAUAUAAGUGUAACCCUUCAUGUGACCUAUUGUAUGAUAGUAGAGUGUCCGAUGACCUUCCCAGUCAUGAGUAACGGAGUGAUGUAGUGUCAUCCCUAGGCCUAGUCGGCUCGGACUUUAGUUAAUAGUCGGGAUGUAAUAGCGUCAGUUUCGUAUAGAUCUAUACAUGUAGUGUUGCUUUCCUUCCGGGAAGCCCUGGUCACAUAGUGUAAGCGUGAUAGAGUGCUUUAUAGAGGGAUAGUGUGUUAUACUUUGUAUUAGUGUAUUCUCUUAAACUUGCGUUAACUUGUAAUAUUAACAGUUAUACUGAGUAUAGUAGUAGUAGAGGUAACAAGCAGUAGCCUUAACUAUACCUAUUAUAGUUAACUAGAGUGAGUGAAUUCCUGCCUUUGAUCAACAAAGGUAAUGAAUAAGAUGAAAACUUUCGUAUCUAACACAAAUAUAUAUAUAUAUAUANAUUAUAUAUAUAUAUAUAUGAUAUAUAUAACUAAGAAAUCAACGACAGUCGGACAAACAACCAAUACCCUAAGACCACAUCAAACAAGAACAGGAAAUAAGGCAAGUUAUCGGUCCUAAAUCCUUCAAGUCUUACUUAUAUAAAUAUAUUGGUGUAGAUAUAUUUUAAAAAUAAAAGUGGUUUCAACAUAAUUUUGAAAAUAGUUUAACAACAAUUUAACCUUAAAAACACAUUAGAUAAUUAGUUAAAACAGUUUUAUUGAUCAGCAUCUAAAAGUGUAGAGAAAACUCUUUUUGACGAUAAAUUGUAAAUCACAUAUGAUUGAUAAUGAAAACAUGUAGCAUUAUACUUGUAUCCCCCCCCCUAAAACAUGUAAAAACAUUUAAAAGGUUCAUUAAGGGGUAUGAACUCACCUACAAUGAGUUGAUCGGGUGGAAGUGUCGGAUGAGCAUUUAGUGUCAAGUAAAGACUUGUACACACUUUAAGACCCUAGUAACAUAUGAAGACAUAUGUUCACAAUUAAUUAGUGAUUUAACUCUUAAUUAAACACAUUUCGACAUCCUAAUGUGAAUAAAAGUUCUAUGGUUGAGUGCUAGAAGGCUAAUGGGUUGCAAGGAAAGAGUAUCAGACCUCACCAUGGAGUUUACUCUUCCAAAACUGACAUUAAGUGAGUUUACGGUUGGGAGACCACAUCCCCCAUGAGUUUACGGUCGUAAACUCAUGGGAGGAGUUUAACUGAGUGUUUUCAAGCCUCUUGUGGUUCUAGCAAUGAUUCUGAGGCAAUAUACAAGGCUAUAGGGGUGUUUAAGGUUAAAGGAGGCUACUCCCUUGGAGUUUACGGUCCAAGGACCACUCCUUGGGAGUUUACAGCCGUAAACUCCAUGGUUUAUGGUAGUAAACUCUUGGACACCUUCUAUUCUUUGAUUUCAAGGUCCUUGGCUUAUUCCUAACAAGUUCUAGUGAGGGUGUAAGGCUUCUUAGGGGUUUAGAGGGUCAUUAGGCAUGGAUUAAGGGAGUUUACGGUCUAAGCAUAUGCUUGGGCCGUAAACUCCAUUUUACCCUUCAAAUGUUGAUGUUUAGGUGUUCCAAGUCCGAAAUAGCAAGUCCCUAAGCCAUAUCUUAAGCCUAAAUGUGGUUUGGAAGUGUUUUGGGCUUGUUUUGCAAGCUUAGAGGGUGUUUACGGUCUAAGCAUGUGCUUGGACCAUAAACCCUCUUUCAAGCCCUAAAACUUAUUGAUUCAAGGUUCAAACACUUCUAGGUUAGGUCCAAAACUAGUUUCUAAGCUUAAAGGGGAGAAAUUGGACACUUUUGGCAACAUUUUAGGGGUUUACGGCCUAAGGAUGUUCUUAGGCCGUAAACUCCUCUUUUUCAGCCUUCAUGAGCAAGUUUUGAGUUAAAAAAACAAUCAAUGAUGUCUAGAACAAGUUAGGGUAAGGGAACUUACGCUUUGGAGGCGGAAAUUUGCGGUUUUGCAGUGAAAUCGGACUUGAGGAGAGAGAAUAGAGAGAGAAAGUGGGUCUAGUGUGGUAAAAGGUUUCUAAGGAGUGUCCCCCCACCUUUAUAUAGGACUUGGGUGUUGUACCCGGUAUACGACUACCCGAGAUUUAUAUUUAACGACGUUUAAAGUUUUUACCCGGUUAAAUGGUGCAAAUAAAAUAAACUUUUUCCAACUAAAUGGAAGGAUAAUUUACGUGUUUAUACUUAUUUUAUUACGACAAUAAUAACGUAAAGUGAAAAUAAAAUAAAACAUUUAUUUAUUUGUCGACCCCAAAUUAAAGGAACUUUUAUAAAAUAGAUUAUUUUAUUAACGGAAACAGGUUAUAAUAACGGAAUAAAUUUUGGCUUGUCACACUCACACAACACUACAACUCUUGGAAUAGGCUUGAGAGAAGUUCACUAAAACCUCAAAAUCAAAUAGCCCUCUUGUUCUUCAAUUAGUGACCGAUUUUGCUUGCCUUGGAGCUUCUUAUAUAGUUGUGGCACGAGUAGGGUUACACCAUGUAAACCCUAAUUGUCAUGGCUUUUCAUAUUCCAUUGUUAGGUGCUAUUUGUGCACCUUUUUGCGCACCUUUUAGUCCCAUUUCAUGCAUCUAUUUAGCACAAUUGUUCUUCCUUUUUCUUGCAUUUCAUCAUAUUCAUGUUAGUCUCUAGAACCACCUUACUUGCACACUUUUAUGUCUUUUUCAGGUAAACCGGAGGUUGGAACGCGCUUUGGGAAGUGCUGGGAAGCAUUGGUGAAGAUUUCGGGACGAUCGGGUGAAGAACGAAAAAGUUGGAAAAAUCAAGUUUGGAAUUGGAGUCAGAGAGGUACACGGGGCGUGUUGAAUUUACACUCAAAAGUGGGCACGGGGCGUGUUUGACCAAAAUGGGAGUUGUCGACCAUGCUGAACAUGGGGCGUGUCAGUUUAGUGCAAAUCAACACGGGGCGUGUUGCUAAACACGACCCGUGUCAGUUUAGUGCAAAUCAACACGGGGCGUGUUGCUGAACACGACCCAUGUCAGUUUAGCUUAUAUUAACACGGGCCGUGUUCGACCCAGAAACCAACUUUUGGUAGUUUUUCCUAUCUUUCAUAUUACGGGUUAAGGGCCAUUUUUACAGAGACACAACAUAUCAGAGCACCAUUGGAGAGAAGAAUUCGAAGGUUUUUGCAAGNAGCCCUAUUGGGGGAGAAGGAGUUGAAGUUUUUAGCAAGGAUUGUCCGUUAAACAUUUGGAAACAUUUUGAUUUCAUAUUUGUAAGCAUUUUAAUUCUUGAUUUCACCUUCUAGAUUUCUGGUUUUGUUCUAGUCAUGUGUGGCUAGAACCCUAAUUUCUCUAAAUCAUGUUUUGACUUUCUAGUUGUGAAUCUAAUCACAUGACUUGAUGUUUGUUCUUAAUUUCUAUUUAAUGAAUUUGAUUUUGCUUCAAUCGAAUGUUUGAUUCUAAUUUUGAUUCUUAUUGGACAUUUGAAUUAGGGUUAGGUCAUUCCAGUUAUCUCUUUUACAAAAUCCGUAAUUGUUUUCUGAAAUUGAACAAGUAACAAGUAUUAAAUUGAUCUCUAUUGAAUUAAUUUAGUGUAAAUCUUAUUCAUACACUUUUACACUCCCGAGCUUAUGAGGACUAUUGGGUGUUGUUGGGAACAUUCACAUAAAGCUUCAUGCAAUCUUCCAGUCUAAUUCUAAGAGCUUGUUUAGAUUAGGUUAAUAAGGUUAGGGUCAAUCAAAGAGCUUGUUUUGGUUAAUUAAUAUGGUGAAUGGGAGGUGUUAGAGCUUAUUAGCACCUUCAAGUACCAACUUAGAUAGAAUUUAACGUAUAUUGUGUCCUCUUUGAGUUACAUUGCUAAACUGUCAUACAUGGAGUUGGAGUCCUUAUAAAAUCUGAACAUAAUUCAUUCGUUUAGUUGUCUACUCAUGUUUUAAAUUUGUUUGUUUAGUCAUUGCAUUCUAAACCCCCCUUGUUACUGUUGGUGACCAUAGUACCAUGCGUAAAGAGGUGUAGACUAAUUAUCCCGUGUCUCUGUGGAUCGACCCUACUUGCCUUUUACUACCUUUUAGUGCAAUAUAGUGGGAUUAUUUUGAAGUAUAUACCCCUUUACUUGUUAGGCUUGACACGCCUAACUAUUUGGCGCCGUUGCCGGGGACACGGUGUUACUAAUUGUUUAUGCCUAGAUUUUUGAGAUUUUUGUGAGCAGGUACAUCUCUAUAAAAAAGACAAAUUUUUUUUUUAAAAAAAACAGAAAAAAAAGUGUCGCUCAGAAAUGAAUACUCCUUACAUAGAAGACCAAAUUUCUAAGCUGGCUCAGUAAGUUAUGAUGAUUGGAAAUGACCAAAGUACGCAGCCCAUAACUAUUCCUUGCGACUUUUGCACUCAAAAUGGACAUCAUUCCGAUAUGUGUCCAUAUCUACAAGGAGAAUGGGAAGAAGUGCAAUAAAUGGGAAGCUACUACUGGCCAAACCAAUGGAGUUAUGAUCAACCUCAACAUGAUCAAUGGUGGGAAAACAACCAAGCUUGGGGAAGCAACCAAUGCCAAAACCCAUACCAAGCUUGGGGAAAUGACCAAUACCAACUAACUCCACAGUUCCAACAGCUAUAUUCUCCACCUCCCCAACAACCUGAAACAUCGAGCAUGUCCUUGGAAGAAAUUGUCAAGAGCAUUGCCACUACUACCUAGAUCUUCCGAGAAACAACCAAAGCUAGCCUCAAAAACUUACUCAAUCUGUGAGUAUAUUGGAAACUCGGGGAAAACUACCAUCGCAGACGGAGGAGGACCCAAUGCAUACCGUUUCUGCCAUCACCUUGAACGAUGGGAAAAAUGUUGAUGACCCAAGAUUGCAAUUGGAUGAUGGGGAAGAGGAGGAAGAAGUAGAAGUGGAGAAGGUUGUCAAGGAAGAAGUAGAAAUUAAGAAUGUUGAUAUGGAAGUUGUAGAGGAGGUGUUGGAGGUUGACAAAAAAGAGGCUGAGCCACCCACUACCAAUGAGAAACUCCUUUCAAUGGUAGAACAACCACAAGAACCGAAAACAAUAAAUUUGCCUGACCCUUCAAAUGAUACGUACCCCGAGAAGGUCGACACUCAACCGGUCAUCAAAUCGACGACCUUAUCAAAGAAGGAAUAUUUGACCACCUUACUAGACAAGUACAAGAAAGGUAUCGGUUGGACGAUUAGUGUCAUUAAGGGUCUAAGUCCAACAUGGUUCCCACGCAAAAAGAAAGUUAAGUACAAGAUAAGUGUUCCAUUGAUGGAGAUGGCGAAAAGUUUAGUGAGUUGGAGAGGCCCACCUACUUAGAACAAAGCACAUUUAGGGACCAAGUCGAGCCAACGACUUAAAACAAGGGCAGCUUACCGGAAGGCAACCCGGGGGUAAUUUUGUCAUUUCUUAAAAAAAAAACAAUUUCCAUUUCUUUGAAGUUUUUUGGUUUUUAAUGUUCUAAAUGCAUUUAAGCAUGUUUUUAAAUCACCAAACGGACCUCGGGAUGCAAAACCAUUUCGUUUGGAUAAGAGAGAAUUUUUGGGUUCAAAAAGUGGGAAGUGGCAAACAGAGCCGCACACGGCACGUGUUCAUUUUUGCCUUAUAUUGAACACGGGUCGUGCUCAAGCCAGGAAAAUAUUUUCGCAGUCAGAGGGGUACACGACCCGUGUCAUUUCUCCCUUAUGCCAAACACGGGCCAUGUUCAGCCAUUUUCAUAAUUUGAAACCCCCAACAUGGGUCGUGUGUUUUUACACUAAAAGAACACGGACCGUGUUCGUGCUGCAGAAAAAAUGUGUUUUAUGUAUAAAAAUCAGCAUUUAUCACCCCAUACACCCAUAACUCAACCGCAAAACAAUUUCUCUCUUCCAAGAUCCCCCAGGUCCGAAAUUUUCACAAUUUGUUUUGUGCUUUUGGGCUUGAUACUUAAUGUAGGCAAGCUUGGGGAGGUUGAAGAGGAGGUUCCCACCAACUGCAAGGCUCCAAGAACGAUUCAGUAAAUUCUUUCCAUAUCUUUAAUCGUUCAUAUUUUUCUUUAAAAUUCAAUAUGUGUGCACUUGUGACUAUUUUAGACUCUUACCCAACCCGACUACCAUCCCCCACUACCUUCCAGUGAUUAGAUAGGUUGUUCCGCCCUCUCCAAGCAUUGGGGACGAUGCUUAUAUUCAAGCUUGGGGAGGGGUAGAGUUAUACACUAGGUUCAUGCAUGUUCAUUCAUGCAUUUAAAAAAAAAAGUUUUUUGUUUCAAGUUUUUGCAUUUUACCUAUUUUUGCAUUUCAUAUUCAUGCAUGCAUUUUCAAAAAAAAAAAAAACAAAAAAAAUGUACGAGAUGAUGACACUCUUGUUGGGUUUUAAGCAAUCUAACACUUCCUAAGUGUGCCUGCAACCCUAAUAAACCUUGGAACUAUGUUUGUCUAAAUACAUGCAAAAUAAUAAUUUUUCCAAGGUUCAUAACCUAUCUAACAUGGCAUGAGGUACUUUUAAACAUAAAAGUAUUAGAUGAGAUUACAUACCUUUUUGAUGACUUUGAUUCUUAAGGAGUUUGAGGGCCAAGCACCAAUAGUGUGAAUGCCUCAAAUGGAAUCACAAAUCACCACAAACUCUUGGAAAACUUUGAGAGAGUGUAUACACACUUAUAAAAUCGGCCACACACAAACACACAUACUCUAGUAACACUAGUCACACUAGUGGCUAUUUCAUGCAACAUAAGCAUGCUUAUAUAGUGUACAUGAUUAGGGUGAAACCCUAAUAACCCAUGACCUUUCCUUUUCCAAGGAUCCAUGGGUUAAAAGCUCCAUGGAUCAUCCAUGGACUUCCAUAUAAGCCUAGCCCAUUAACAAAUGAGUAUUAGCCCACACCAUAUAAAACCAAUAGCCCACAAUCUAAUUAGUCUUCCUUUUAAUCUGUAAAUUAAUUCAUAAUUAAUUUAAGACUAAGACUAAUUAAAUAUUAUAACUUCAUAUUAAUAUAUUAUACAUUAUAAUAUAUUAAUAAACAUAUGUGUAUAACUCUCAUAAAAUUAUCCAUAAAUAGUUCGGAUGAAGUGCAACCCAAAUGGCCCAUGCCGGGUCGGGUGAAGUAUGUACCAAAUAAGUUAUGGACUUAGACACCUUAUCCAACAGACUCCUACUUGGAUAAGUCUAAUAACUAUACUUGCGUGCGUUACUUCAGGAACCAACCAGCAAUCGUAGGUCUCGAAAACUCUGUUGAACUAUGAAGCGCCAUUUUAGAUAAGUGAUCAUAAAAUCCUCUGUUCUCUUGAUUUCAGCCGGACAAAUACAUGGAACAACGUCGUACUUAUUGUCCAGCAGUUUGUUUCCCGAUUUUCGAUUUGUUUGACAAAGAACUUAAUCGAACACAUCAAUUUAGUUCUGACCGGCCGGUACAUAGGUCACAACAAAAUCAUCGAGGGGCCCAGAUAUCGCUUCUAUUUCUAGAAGGAACAGAUAAACUUCGACUCAUAUGCUUGUUCUACUACUUGUUGAAUUGUACACAAAGGCACGUUUUAUAACAUCAAGUUACUGAUGCGUUUACGUGCAAUCAAUGCACAACCAACUCAUAGGUAACAACUCAUAUCUCUAGGUUUGAAGAUUUAUAUGAUAUUACCGUCUCACGAUCACUCGAGAUAAAUUCCAUGAAGUGAUACAAGUGAGCGUGGGUUUAUUCCAAUACUCAUAACUUAUGAGCACUCAUGAAUGUUGUAGCAACCAUUGCUAUGACUAAACCCAUUUAGCCAUCUACAAACUCGAUUCAUGACAGUCUUGAUUCAUACCUACUUCCAACAUAUGAACGACUGUGGAGUGUUUAAAUAACUUAGUCAUUCGGAAAGAAUAACCUAGCUAUUUUGGAAGUCAAAACAUGCAAAGUGAAACACAAUAAUAAUCGAAUCCAAUAUGGUCUCAGAACCCUUUUGAAUAUAAAUAGAACCACCUUUUAUUUAUCACCAUAUUGAUUACACAUUAUUCAUUGUAUAAUGUUUCAAACAAUCAACUUAAGACUUGAAUAAAAACAACAGUCGUCCCAUGCUCCUAGCAUGUACACUUUGUUUUUCUAAACAAUAGUUAUGCCAUACUCCAAGUAUGCACACUAUGUUUGUCUAUGAUCUUUACUUUGUGAAAUAGAUCAAUUGAACAUGAUUCCAAUGAUACUCAUUUCACAAUCCCAAAGCCUUAUUGUAAAUGUAUGAAUUCCUAAUUCCUACCAUUUACCAAAAAUUUGUUAGAUUUUAAACUUAUAUGCACUGAUCCUCUUAUAAUGAUUAUGCACAAGGUCACCAAAACCUUGUCAUCAGUCAUUACAGACUAUUCCAAAGAAGAUCAACUCAAUGGAAACAAAGUCUCAUAUUCAAAGUACAUUGCUUUAAACAUCCUUCUUGCAUUAAGUUUUUCUAAUGUUACACAGAUUGAAUAACUUCCUCCUAUGGAGACAUUUCCAUAGUCCUAUUUUGGCUGUCACUUCUGAACAAGAGUUACCUCUUUUCAGAAAAUGUCAAUAUGGUCCUGCCAAAAUUAACACUAUACUUCCAAAUGUCCUUGAGCAACCAAUCUUUGGCAAACCUCAGAUUGUCCUAGACAAUUGCUUAAUCACUUUAGUCAUAUCCAGUUCUAGACUUUUCCCUUCUCAAUGCCUUAAGCAUUUGGAAAAUUUAGAAAAGAUGAAUAUUAUAGCACAUGCAAUCGAUCCUAUAUCCGAAGCAUAUGGGACACGAUUCAUGAUGUUUGACAUAAAGACAUGAUACUAGACAAGUCUUUUGCUACAAUAUUUUUUAUUUGCCAUGUUUUCAAAAUUUAACUAUGAAGAGGGAUGCCGUAGUCAUAAUUGAAUUUUGAGAACGCAAUAUAUAUAGAAUUUCCUUAAGUCGAACCAUUCAGACAUAAAAUUCAUACAUAUAUCCUUGACUAAAGAUGAUUAAAAUCUCAAUAUAAGCUUCUAGAAUUGAAAUGAAGUAUCAUUUCCUCUCCCUUAAUUAUAGCAAAAGGACUUUUCAACCCCUGCAACUUCACGAAUUGAAACGUUUGUUUUUCUAUAAUUAACAUUGCUAGCUUGCAAUAAUAGUAAUCAUAAUUAUCAUGCUCACACUAACAUGAUGAUUAUUAGCAUAACACUUAUGCUCCCACUAGCUCUGACACAUUUCCAGAAAUCUGUUGGACUUCUGAAAUUUAGAUUCAUACACCCUUUCUUAGAUAGCUCACAUGUGUGUCUAAACAAUUUUCAGAACUAUGAAAAGGGAUGCCGUAAUCAUAGUCUCAAUUGCUUAGGCAUUUGCCAUUUCUCACAAGUCCAUGUUAGUGUGCCGGUUAACCACACGCGCUCCACUAACGACUUUUGAAAAUGCAAAUAACACAAUUGAUAUCUACGUAAAAUCUACUUAGUGAAAGCGUUUCCUCACCAUCAUUUUCAUGAAUCGGAGAGAAACCUUAUGACACUUAGAUUUUAUAGUGUAUGAGUUCCUAUCCAUGUGAAUUUGUCAAAACCAUAAUCACAAGAUAAGGUUAGUGACAAAUUCAGCCUUACAUGGAUUAAACUUGUUCAAUCUUAGUUUCUUGUCACCUUGGUAGCACAAGGCCCACCAAUGCUUCCAAGUUGAACUCUGAUAACUCACAUGCAAAUUCAACUUAUUUGAAGUAGGUACAGAAAUAAGAAUUAUGUCAACACGAUAGGUUGCAAACCUUAAGUCGUGUGCUAGUGAUAAAUUACAGGUUUUACUCUUGAUUAAAUCUUGAAACUCUUUCAGGAUCUUUAAGGCUCCCACUGUCCCCUUGACAUAUAAGUUUCCCUAGUCAAGAACCAUUCCUUGACAAAACAAAUAUUCAAGGGAUAGUGCGGAUUCUUAUCAAGACUAACACUUCACACAAUUGGUCUUAGUUGGUCUUUGUCUCAUCCAAGACAUCACAACUUACCAAUCUCAAAUGUACAAGAGUAGAAAACAUUUUACUCUUACAUUUGACUAGUGUUAAUAAAUCUUCCUUUAUGUCACUCAAAGUUACAAUCUUGGAGUAUGACUCUAAGAAUUGUUUUGGAACGAAGUAUGACUCAUCUUCUUGAUUUUAACCAAUCCAACAAUUCAUGACCUCUCUUCUUAGCCAUAACAAUGCACUAAGACGUCCUUAGAGUAUGAAUUUGUGAUAUGGUUUCAUAAUCAUUAAGAUGAUCAUGAAAUACGAUACUAAAGUACUCUCCCAUCCUUUCAGAUUUGAGAAACUUUUAUCUUUCUGCCUAAUUUGAUUCUUCUCAUUUGUUUUGUCAUACAUUGUAACCUUUCCAAUGUUACAGAAUUAUACUUAACCUUAUAAGUAUAAUCAUAUUUACUAAUCUUUAGUAAAUCAUGACAAAUCAAUCUUUGUGGUGGACCUUGACCAGCGCACACCCAGUGUACCUAAUUCCUUAGUCCUUCAAUUGACUCACAUAUACAUGUGAUCAAAGAAUUAGUCUUAAUUUUCAAAGAUGAAAAUUCUCAUUCAUCAUACAAUACAACUUGUAUGAUUCCAAGUUUCUGUCCAAUUGAAACUUGGGUGAUGAAAAACUUUCUUCAUUUGGUAAAUUCAGACACUACCACAAAUGAAAGAAUCAAAUCCACUUUCCAAUAUUGCUAUUACUGGAAACAUAUAAGCAACAAUUUUCCACAGAUGCCAUUGUAAGGAUAUUUUUAAAAUAAAUAAAAUUAAAACCCUUUUUUUCUUUUAUUUUAAAACUUUGCGGAAAAACUUAUCCUUACAAUCCACAUGAAAACCUUGUUGUUAUCUAUUCAUAAGCAAUAUAUUAUAACUCUUAAGCAACAGCUCAAAAUUCUGAUUACCGAACCAUGCGAUUGAAACCCACCUUCGCAAUCAGAAUCGACAUAUACUUACUUUAAGCUUCCUAUCUUUUCUUUUGAUUCUUAAAAACAUCAACAUGUGACCCAUUCACAUUAUGUAAUAAGAAUCUCCAAAUAGGAACUUAAUAGAGUUAGUCAGUGGACUUUACCCGAAGUAGAGUCAAACCUCUUGACUUGAUCAACCUUAUGACCUUUCAGGUGAAUAGGGAAGCUUCGCAACCAAUGCCCCUUCCUUUGGCAACAAAACACAUGGACCCUUUGGUAAUGGCACAUGAGACUAUCUCAGACUUAGCUUUUCUCUUUACCAUUUGGUCAACCGAGUUGACUAUGGCCGAUCCCUUUCCAUUGGGAAGAGAAAUGCUUUUCUAGAUAUCCAAUGCUACCAUUGUCAAUGUCCAUUUAAGACUUAGGAAGUUGUUCUUUUAAUCAAAUUUUCUUUACUGGUGUUCCAAAUCAUUGCUGAUUCCACAACACCAAGCAAAUAGAUAACAUCAUUAAGGGUCAUGUCAUAGUCUGUCUCAUAGUAGUCCCAAAGAGACUCACUAUGUUACUAAGAAAGUGAUUGAACAUCCAACUUUCACAAGACUUUGACACCCAACUCUCCCGGCUUGUCAAUACGUGACUUCAUCACCAAUAUGUGAUCACAUAUAGAUCUUGCUUGCCAACA
rnacentral:lncRNA from 1 species